CGGCGGUGGAGGCGGAGGAGGAACGUUGAAUAUUGUCGUCGAGACAGCCGAUGGGUCUUACAAAGACGGAACGCCUUUUGUCGUCUCGGGACCAACAAACAGCGGUGGAUACGUCCCUGUGUCUAGCUCUUAUGGCGGUUACCAUUAGCUCGGAUGACCGCACCUAUUUGCUUCGUUUUGCUGUUAUUGUUGUUUCUUUUCCUCGGGUGUUUUUUAUGACGAGUGUGAAUAAGAUUGAUUUUUUUAACGAAAAUAAAGAAAAAUAAAA